ensembl:lncRNA
GUCAUCUGAUGAAGAUUUUCAAAAGGUUAGUGAAUUAUUUAUUUUUUAAUCCUACUUUUAAAUUUUAUAUUUUCUGGGACAAAAUGGCCGCCGCUUGCCUUUUGUUUCGGUGGUGGUCUAAUAUAAAUGUGUGCUAUGUUUUCGCCGUAAAACAUUUUAGAAAUCUGACUUGCUGGGUAGAUGAACAAGGUGUUUAUCUUUCAUUUGAGCUAUUGGACUUGUGUAGGUGUGGAGGUUAAAUAUUUCUAAGAAUAUUUUUUCGCAUUUUGCGUUAUGCUAAUGAGCUUGAGCCGUAGUCACGAUCCCGGAUCCGGGAUGGGUAGCAUCAAGUUAACACUUAUUUUUCUUAAAAUGACAUUGUUGGUUAAGGGCUCGUAAGUAAGCAUUUCACUGUAAGGUCUACCUACACCUGUUGUUUUCGGCCUAUGUAACAAAUACAAUAUGAUUUGAUGCUGCCGUCUUGUUCCAGGUCUCUCUUGAAUAUGAUAUUUUUAUUUUAACGAGACUAACCUGGUUAAAUAAAGUUUCAAUAAAAUAAAUAAAAAGGUGUAAUGAUUGGAUUCAUAAAUGUGUUAUGAAUGGAUUAUGGAUACAACCUUAAAAUAAAGUGCUCCCACCAUUUAUAAAUUCAAGUCUAUCCAAGCUCCAGGUCACAAAUUCAGUUGAUAUAACUAGGAAACCAUAAUAUUGACUUAAGUUCUGCCUGGAGGGAGGUCAUAAACUUCAGGCUGUAAUGUCAUUUUGCUUGUUAAUCGGCUGUGAGAGGUGUGGAUGGGUGGGGCAGGUACAGCAUCUGCAGAAAGAGUAUAAAAUAGGGCUGCAGAGGGCAGAGAGACACCACACUACUACUGACGUCCAGAAGACAUCAUCCAGAUAAACAGCCAUCAAUCAGAAAGCAUCGUCCAGCUGAAAGAGUAAAGGAUGAAGAUCCAGAGUAUGUUACUGCUGUUCGCUCUAGUGGGUGUCCUGUUAGCAAGCUCCCUCAAUGAAGAUAACUCUGAGGAUGCUCUCCUGCAGGAGGAUGAUGCAAAAAAUGGAAAGGCUGCCUUUUUGGCAAAGUUGGCUACUCUGAAGACCAGCCCCUCUGAAGAUGAAGCAGCAUUUUGGGGCGCGCUUUGGAACGUAGCCAAGGAAUUUGUUGGGUGAGAAGCGACCAGCAUGGGGAUGCCAAGGAUCCUUUUCAGUCUCCAUAUGGAAUCAGCUAUCACCUCUGAAGUCAUCACUAACAUUACCUCAGUGAAUCAUUCCAACAACCAUCAAUCAAUGAUUGUCAAAAAACAACAACAGUAAUACAGUUAAUUGGUACUUUGGUUCUGAGAAGAACUCAUCAACAUUCUGAAGAAUAUAUGUUUUAUCCAUGAACAUGUACUUUAUGUCCUGACACAUGAUAGUUGAUUGGUCAAGUUAGUGGAU